rnacentral:lncRNA from 1 species
GGGUCCUCAACGUCAAAUAUGGUUUAGACCACUAGUGCAGAAAUGGCUUUAAACGUUAGUUAUUUUAGGCUUUUAACGUCACUUUCAGAACCGACGUCUAUAUGGGUGACAUGAAUGGGACGUCGGAUUUCGGCAGGUCCGACGUCCAUAUAGGUGUCGGUUUUGGUGCAAAGAUCGACGUCUAUAAAGACAUCAGACCUUGCUCGA